rnacentral:rRNA from 1 species
CGCAGAAAGACACAGGAGAGCUUUUUAGGCCCCUAGGACGCAAUUGACCCCGCCUCUCAUCUCCCCCCCUAGCGCAGCCCCCGAAUGCGUAUGCUAUUAGUUGCCUAUAGAGUACUCAAGCUAUGCAUUCACGCGUUGUGAGCUCUCUCAUAUGUCGAGCUGCACGCGUCGCGAUUCACUAGUGAUUUAGCAUAGAAUAAUAGAAUAGGACGCGCUCCUAUAUUGUUGUUCUAGGAGAGCCGUAAUGAGUAAUAGGGACAGUUGUGCGCAUCCGUAUUCAGAUGUCAGAGGUGAAUUCUCGGAUUACUGAAGACGAACUACUGCGAGAGCAUAUGCCACAGAUGUUUCAUUAAUCAGUGAACGAGAGUUAUAGGAUCGAAGACGAUCAGAUACCGUCGUAGUCUUAACCAUAAACUAUGCCGACUAGGGAUCGGGCGAUGUUAUUGUAUUGACUCGCUCGGCACCUUUCGAGAAAUCAAAGUGUUUGGGUUCUGGGGGGAGUAUGGUCGCAAGGCCGAAACUUAAAGAAAUUGACGGAAGGGCACCACCAGGAGUGGAGCCUGCGGCUUAAUUUGACUCAACACGGGGAAACUCACCAGGUCCAGAUACACGUAGGAUUGACAGAUUGAGAGCUCUUUCUUGAUUGUGUAGUUGGUGGUGCAUGGCCGUUCUUAGUUGGUGGAGUGAUUUGUCUGCCUAAUUGCGAUAACGAACGAGACCUUCAUCGUUAACUAGCCCGGCUCGCCUUGGCGGGUCGCCGGCUUCUUAGCGAGACUUUUGGCUUAAGCCAAAGGGAGUUGGAGGCAAUAACAGGUCUGUGAUGCCCUUAGAUGUUCUGGGCUGCACGCGCGCUACACUGACAGAGGCAACGAGUUUCGUCCUUGGCCGGAAGGCCUGGGUAAUCUUGUCAUUUCGA